AAAGGGUAACACCGGCUACGGAUGGCCAUGCGGCGCAUUAGCUAGUUGGCGGGGUAACGGCCCACCAAGGCGACGAUGCAUAGGGGUUCUGAGAGGAAGGUCCCCCACACUGGUACUGAGACACGGACCAGACUCCUACGGGAGGCAGCAGUGAGGAAUAUUGGUCAAUGGGCGCGAGCCUGAACCAGCCAAGUCGCGUGAGGGAAGACGGUCCUAUGGAUUGUAAACCUCUUUUGUCGGGGAGCAAAAGACGCCACGCGUGGCGUUCCGAGAGUACCCGAAGAAAAAGCAUCGGCUAACUCCGUGCCAGCAGCCGCGGUAAUACGGAGGAUGCGAGCGUUAUCCGGAUUUAUUGGGUUUAAAGGGUGCGCAGGCGGAAGAUCAAGUCAGCGGUAAAAUUGAGAGGCUCAACCUCUUCGAGCCGUUGAAACUGGUUUUCUUGAGUGAGCGAGAAGUAUGCGGAAUGCGUGGUGUAGCGGUGAAAUGCAUAGAUAUCACGCAGAACUCCGAUUGCGAAGGCAGCAUACCGGCGCUCAACUGACGCUCAUGCACGAAAGUGUGGGUAUCGAACAGGAUUAGAUACCCUGGUAGUCCACACAGUAAACGAUGAAUACUAAUUGUUCGGGGAGAAUGAUCCCUGA
rnacentral:rRNA from 1 species